AUUUCUACCAGGUGCUGUUUCAGUUCAUUGAAAGUUCCGUUUAUUUGAAAUAUUUGAAAGAAACCAUUUGAAAUAUGGACAAGGAGAAAUACUCUGAGGCGCCUUGCGCGUUUCGCAUCAAUGUUCAUUCAAUUGCUUCAAGUUUUGUCACAGCCACAAACGAAGAAUGUUUACGAAGCUCAAAGCCACAUGUUUGAUAAGUGUCGUCGUCGUCUGUACAAUUCGCAUUGUAUGUUUGUAAAAUAAAGCAAUGUUACACUUCGUUCGUUGAAGUUUGGUGAAGAAGCCAUUAUCUUUAAAGUUGAAAGCGAUGUGGUGCGGAUAUAAUCAACAACAACUUGAUUUUCACGUUUGCCAGAGUCAGGAAUACUUUUAAAAAAGUUUUGACACCGCCAUACAUGAAGAAUAAUGUUUACGAAGCGCAAAGCCACAUGAUGUAAGUAGUUUGCUCAUUAUUACUUAUUUAUUAGCAGAAAGCCAAACCGUUAUAAAUUGCGCAACUUACACAAUGCUUUAUAUUUACGAAAGAAAUUUGUAUUUUGAAACUGAAACUGAAUGUGAUCUUUUGAAAAGUGUAAAGAUGUUUAUAGAUAGGCACAAAGAUUUCAUCAUCAAACGCUGCUUUCAUGACUUUAAUUAAAACUAGUGUUUUCGGCACACAUUCUUUUUAACCACACAUCAUUCCUUUACAAAAAAGUCAACUUGACAAUUGAGGAAAAGCCGUUGUUCAAUAAAGCGAAAAGUGUCGUUCGUCGUGUGUAAAUGUCGCAUUGUAUGUAUGAAAUGUUAAUUUUUACUGUUUUUGAACUAUAAAGAGCAAAACGAAGGCUUUUAAGAAUAUGUUGUCUUGUAAUAAUGAAACAUAUCAUUUAAUACUAACUAUUUCGCUUUUUAAUUCCUGUUAUUUUGAUGAUUGUUUUAGGUGACAAGCUGAUGAAAAAAGCUUAAGUAUCUGUUCAAGGAUUAUCGACGCUGGGAA